GACGUAGGGCGCGAGCGUUGUCCGGAUUUAUUGGGCGUAAAGAGCUCGUAGGCGGCUUGUCGCGUCGACUGUGAAAUCCCGAGGCUCAACUUCGGGCUUGCAGUCGAUACGGGCAGGCUAGAGUUCGGUAGGGGGAGACUGGAAUUCCUGGUGUAGCGGUGAAAUGCGCAGAUAUCAGGAGGAACACCGAUGGCGAAGGCAGCCCCCUGGGAUAACACUGACGCCUCAUGCACGAAAGCGUGGGGAGCAAACAGG
rnacentral:rRNA from 1 species